GGGGGGGGGGGGGGGGGGGGUGUCGCUCCUCCUGCCCUCGUAGGAUGAGGGGAGAGGAAGGAGGGAGGGAGCCGCGUGCUGUGGCGCUGCUCGCUGUCCUCGCCUCGCCCGGGAGCGGAGCCGCCGGACCAGCGGAGGUAACGCGGGGCUGGCCCCGGGGGGGCCCCAAAACGCGGCCCCCGGGCGUGCUGAGAGCCCCUUCGGGCCCGGGAAGGGGGAAACAAAGCGCAGCCCGCUGCUGGUUAGGUGAAAAUGGGGGAAAAUCUGUAAAAAUAGGGGGUGAGGAGCGCGGCGGGCCGCCCGCCUCAUGGCUCGCCGCGAGCCCGGGCGCUCUCGGGUCGAGCCGCGGCCUUGCGAGGAGGAGCGGCUUUCGGGGCAAAAAGCGGCGAUUUUAGCAAAAAAACGUGUCCGGCUUUCACACAGGGGGCUGGUAGGGAGGGUAACCGGCCGGGCCAGGAGAGCCUGAGGUGGCACGGGAACCAGGCAGACAUACAGCGGGCGCAACGAGCCCUCGGGCCUCCCCGCUGUAAUUUGGGGCCAAAUCGGGUUGAAUCCGUGUUUUCUGGGCCCGCAGCUUUGUGCUGGGCACCCAGCUGGCCGCAGCCGCCCCUCUGCCUCCCUGCGCGGACAGAGGAGGGCAGGGAGAGGAGCUAAAACCUCGCCGCUUUCCCUCGCUUCUUCCCAGUCACCUCACAAAGAGGGAUUAACAACUGGGUUUAUACAGCAGGAGCCCAGCUCCCGUGCCUUUUGGUGUACAAUCAUCAAAUACCCUAAAAAAAAAAAAACCCAAACCUUAAAAUCCUACUCUAGUGCGGUCUAUAAUCGAGGGUAGAAGCGCUCCCCGGCGCAGAUCUCCCUGAAGCAGCAGCACCCGAUGUGCUGUGCCCGAUGGGUUCAUCUCCAGCUUCCCUCGCUUUUAAAUUACAAAAUGUCUGGAUGUCUCCCUUUCCCCGGCUUUUGCAACAAUAACCAUGCUCUGCCUCGGCUUUACCACAGACAAACACUUGAAAUAAGUGAGAUGGCAAUGAAAUCAUUUACCGCCUAAUAAAGAUUAAAAAAAAAUAAAGCGACUGGAGUCU
rnacentral:lncRNA from 1 species